rnacentral:rRNA from 1 species
AGGACGAACGCUGGCGGCGCGCUUAACACAUGCAAGUCGAGCGAGAACCGAAGCCUUCGGGCAUCGGGGAAAGCGGCGAACGGGUGAGUAACACGUGGGCAACCCACCCUUGGUACCGGGAUAGCCCGGGGAAACCCGGAUUAAUACCGGAUGGCCCAGCAGCCUUUCGGGGCGGCUGGAAAAGGGAGCUUCGGCCUCCGACCAAGGACGGGCCCGCGGCGGAUUAGCUUGUUGGUGGGGUAACGGCCUACCAAGGCGACGAUCCGUAGCUGGUCUGAGAGGACGAUCAGCCACACUGGGACUGAGACACGGCCCAGACUCCUACGGGAGGCAGCAGUGGGGAAUCUUGCGCAAUGGGCGAAAGCCUGACGCAGCGACGCCGCGUGGGGGAAGAAGGCUUUCGGGUUGUAAACCCCUUUGACCCGGAAGAAUGCCCGCAAGGGUAUGACGGUACGGGUAUAAGAAGCCCCGGCUAACUACGCGCCAGCAGCCGC